AUUGAGCACAGUUUGUCGAAAGCCCGCUCUCUGUAUCGGCGGGAACUAUUACUUUGAAUUUGCUGGAGAUUUGGAAGGAUAUUACGGUUACGUCGAGUACGAUGAUAUUAAGCAAAGUUUGUCCGUUCAAAUUGAAGACGAUGACGGUAAUCUCACGCUUAACUUCAAGAAAGAUGGAGUGACGACAUCUGCCAAGUUCGCGCAAGGACUAUAGUUGAC